rnacentral:tRNA from 1 species
CGGGCCGUAGCGCAGCUUGGUAGCGCGCUUGCAUGGGGCGCAAGAGGUCGUGAGUUCGAAUCUCGCCGGCCCGACCA